rnacentral:rRNA from 1 species
AACGAACGCUGGCGGCAUGCCUAACACAUGCAAGUCGAACGAGACCUUCGGGUCUAGUGGCGCACGGGUGCGUAACGCGUUGGAACCUGCCCUUAGGUUCGGAAUAACUCCCCGAAAGGGGUGCUAAUACCGGAUAAUGUCUUCGGACCAAAGAUUUAUCGCCUUUGGAUGGGCCCGCGUUGGAUUAGCUAGUUGGUAAGGUAAAAGCCUACCAAGGCGACGAUCCAUAGCUGGUCUGAGAGGAUGAUCAGCCACACUGGGACUGAGACACGGCCCAGACUCCUACGGGAGGCAGCAGUGGGGAAUAUUGGACAAUGGGCGAAAGCCUGAUCCAGCAAUGCCGCGUGAGUGAUGAAGGCCUUAGGGUUGUAAAGCUCUUUUACCCGGGAUGAUAAUGACAGUACCGGGAGAAUAAGCUCCGGCUAACUCCGUG